CUCAGCAACUUUUCCCCUUCACAGGUUGUGAUAAAUCUCCCCCCUUAUAAAUCUGCGCAGGAUCCUGUAUGUGUGAACGUACCCUAAAGAAUAUUGUUUUGUACGCUGAAUUUCCAUUACACGCUGCUCGGAUUGAUGUUGCUGACGUUUGGCACCCCCAAAAUGUGGCGUGAAAGGAGCUUUACAGCUUCUAAAGUGAGUUUACAAGUAGAGUAAAGAUCCUUAAAUCUAGCACUGAGGUCAUAGCACGAAAACCAACGUGUACCCUGGUAGGGUUAAGGGUACUCUACUGGCCAGAGGGUUCCCCUGAGGUAUAAGCCAGACACGAAUAGUGACAGAGUACAGUAUGGAAAGGUUGCUCAGACUGGACCUGGCCUGUAAUACAAGACAAAACCUGCAGACAAGUGUGGCAGCAUUUUCAAAUUAUAGACAGCCCCUUUAAGCAUGAGUAUCCCGUUUCAUAAGGACCAUUGCUUUACUACACUGACAGUAGAUAUCAAGCACAGAUCUGUGACAUCAUUCUGGAUACAUAACCCAUUAAAGAUGAACAGAUGUAUAUUCUACGAGGCUUUUCUGGGUUCUUGAGGGAACUGUCAACCUGCAGAUAAAGCAGAGGAUGGAUGGUUUUUGCUGGAUGUUACAUAAAGUUAUAUUGCUCUUUGCAGGAGGUUUUAAUAAACCAUAAGACAGGAAGUAACCUGGUAUACAAGAUGAGCCGCAUUUAUCAGGUAAAGGAAGUACUCCCUUCUGUAAUGAAUCUGGCACGAGACCCCGCUCCUCAGUCCCACGAUCCCUUCUGCUACCAGAAGGCCAUCUUAUCUGCAGCACAGAAUAAAUACUGAUCCCUAGCUGCCUCUGCUUUUCGUCUGAUCACCAUUUACCUUUUGUGGGGCCAGCAUAUCAUUGGGAUUAGUAAAUAUAUUAGAAAAACAAAGCCGAUGACAUGAUGACAUUUUAACACACAAAAUAAUACAGUCACUUGGUUGGAUCGACCCUAAUGCUA